rnacentral:rRNA from 1 species
GUGCCAGCAGCCGCGGUAAUACGUAGGGUGCGAGCGUUAAUCGGAAUUACUGGGCGUAAAGCGUGCGCAGGCGGUCUCGUAAGCUGGGUGUGAAAGCCCCGGGCUUAACCUGGGAAUGGCAUUCAGGACUGCGAGGCUCGAGUGUGGCAGAGGGAGGUGGAAUUCCACGUGUAGCAGUGAAAUGCGUAGAGAUGUGGAGGAACACCGAUGGCGAAGGCAGCCUCCUGGGCCAGCACUGACGCUCAUGCACGAAAGCGUGGGGAGCAAACAGGAUUAGAUACCCUCGUAGUCC